rnacentral:rRNA from 1 species
AUUGGAAUGAUGGGAAUUUAAACCUCUUCCAGAGUAUCAAUUGGAGGGCAAGUCUGGUGCCAGCAGCCGCGGUAAUUCCAGCUCCAAUAGCGUAUAUUAAAAUUGUUGCAGUUAAAAAGCUCGUAGUUGAAUUUCUGCUGCAUUGCUUUUGCUCCUUUACGAGUCUUUGCAUUGUGGCUUAUUUCGGACUUUGUUUUACAAUGUCCGGAUGUUUACUUUGAGAAAAUUAGAGUGCUCAAAGCAGGCUUUCGCCUUGAAUAGUUUAGCAUGGAAUAAUAAAGUAGGACUUUGGUUCUAUUUUGUUGGUUUUAGGUACCAAAGUAAUGGUUAAUAGGAACAGUUGGGGGCAUUCGUAUUUAACUGUCAGAGGUGAAAUUCUUAGAUUUUGUUAAA